AGGGAAACCCUUCCGGGCGUGGGGGAGGACUGGCCAGGCUAGGGCAGGGCCGGCGGAGCCAGGACGGAGCUGAGCGAGGUGGGCUCGGCCCGACCGACUGACCAUUGGAGCCGCCGAGCCGGGGCAGGGGCCGUCUCUGCAGCCGCCGGUCGGCCCCCUCCCCCAUCCCCUCCCCCUGCCCGCCCCCUCCCUCCCUCCUUCCCUGCCUUCCUCUCUCAGUCUUUCUCACCCUGCCCCUCCGCCAGCGACCGGGCAGACGCCCGCCAGACCUGCUCGGACCCGACUGGAACCGAGGCGGCGGCGGCGCUGACGGGGCGGACGAGGAGCGUGUACCCCGGGGCCGGGGCCGGACGGGAGGAGCCAGCCAGCGAGCCAGCAGCCAGCCCCAUUCCUCCAGCCUUGUCAGCCUCGGAGGGGGCGGCGGGAAAGGAAGGCUGGGCGCCCGGCCGGCGGCAAUCCCGCGGCGGCGGCAGGAAGCCGACCCGGGCUCGGGCCCCUUUGUGUGGAGGCGGCAGCAGUGACCGUGACCAUGCCAAUGCCCCCCCCAGCAGCAGCUGAGUGAGCCCCCCUGCUGCCUCUCCGGCUCCCCGCCCCCACCCGCAGCCCUUGCUUUCUGGAGUGGGGACCACUGGGCUCCUCCCCCCCACUCGUCCUCCCUCCUUCUCCUCCCCCUUCCCCUCCCCCCCAGUACCCACCCACCCUCUCCCGUGCGUCCCGUCCCGUCCCGUCUAACCGCCGCUCCUAGGAAGGGCAUUUCCAGCCCCCCCGGCAGGCAGCCAGCCGCACCCACCCCCACCCCUCCUGCCCCUCCUCCUCCUCCUCCUCCUCCUCCUCCUUCUCCUUCUCCUUCUUGCUCAGUCUGCCUGCUCCUGCCCUGCCUCUCGCUCUCUUUCCCCCUGCUGGGCUGCCGCCGCCUGUCUUGAACUUCCUCAUCUUCCCCCUGCUAGGCUAGGCCCUCUGCCUCUCAAACCCCAACUUGAGUUGGCAGAUUUCCGCCCACCGCCCCCACGGCCUCCAUAGCUGGUGGAGCCCCUUUUUAUGCUGCUGAGAGGGAGCUGGUGAAGGGAAGACUGAUGAGGGAAUACAAGGUGGUGGUGUUAGGGAGCGGAGGGGUGGGUAAGUCUGCCCUGACUGUGCAGUUUGUCACGGGCACCUUCAUUGAGAAAUAUGACCCCACCAUUGAGGAUUUUUACCGCAAGGAGAUCGAAGUGGACUCUUCUCCCUCUGUACUGGAAAUCCUGGACACCGCAGGGACUGAGCAGUUUGCUUCCAUGAGAGAUCUCUACAUCAAAAACGGCCAAGGUUUCAUCCUAGUUUAUAGCCUGGUUAACCAGCAGUCUUUCCAGGAUAUCAAGCCGAUGAGGGACCAGAUUGUCAGGGUGAAGAGAUAUGAAAAAGUCCCACUCAUCCUAGUGGGAAAUAAAGUGGAUCUGGAAUCAGAAAGGGAGGUUUUGACUGCAGAAGGCAGAGCUUUGGCUCAGGAGUGGGGCUGCCCGUUCAUGGAGACAUCAGCCAAAAGUAAAACAAUGGUGGACGAACUGUUUGCAGAAAUCGUCAGGCAAAUGAACUAUGCAUCUCUGCCUGAGAAACAAGAUCAGUGUUGUACAACUUGCAUCAUCCAGUGAAGAAGCUAACCUCAUUCGUGGCCAUACAGAGCAGAUAAAACUCAGAGGGAAUUUGCACAGAUGCUGCUUUGGACAACUUGACAGCCUGGGUUGCAGAACUGAGCCUUGGUAAACCUGUCUCGAUAACAGCAUGUUGCCAUACACCUAAUUAAGUGCAUAAGGUCCACAGCCUUCAAGAUCCAUAGACCUUAACCAAGAAUGCUUAGCACGUUUACCAUAAGUUAAAAUAGAUUCUUUAUCAAUCAGUCCUUUUGUAGCUUUCUAAGUUCUUAUUAAUGGUUAAUAUGCAAGGGUUCAUUUUUAAUAUUUUAAUUGAUUUCUUUAAUCAAUUUCUGAACUUGUAUUUAUUAAAUACUUAAACUCAGUAUUACCUACUCAAUGCCUUUUAAAAGUUUUAAUGGAGAAUAAAUUGAGCCUUAAACAAGUGGUUACUUCUGUAUAUUACCUCGCUCCAGUGCUUCAAUCUAUUUGCGAAAAUAUUUGUUUCCUGAAAUGGUUGGUCGAUAUUUUGAGACUUUAUGUUUACGUGUGACAGUGUUGUAAAAAACUAGAGAUCCUAUCUUACCUGGAUGGAUAUAAUAUCCCUUUUCUCAUCUGAUGCAGCCCCGUGAUAGGGUGCUGUAACUGACACAUUCAGAAGGUGGAAAUUGCAAUUUGAAGUUGACUGUAAUAUUUAGUUGGAGGGGUUUUCAUGAUUUUUUUAGUGUCAUUUGCAACAUUGAGUUGCAGCUGAAACAUUUUCCCUUCUGUGAAGUUCUAAAUUUAGUUAUGACCUACUUUUUACAAUGCCUUUGAAAAGGGAUAUUGUAUUCUAGGUAAAUUAAUUUCAUAUACCUGCACUCAAAUAUCUCAGCUUUGCCUGGCAGGUUAGUAAUUUACAUCUAGUCAGUUUCUGCACAUGUAAAGUGAAUGCAAAUAAAAUGAUUUUACAUUUUAUAGUUAAUACUUGUCUUUCUGAACAAUGUUUUAAAGCAAUAUUUGUUAACAUUUUCUUGCACUGUCACAAUUGCUUUUUUUUAUUAUUUCCCAGUAAACAGGUUAGCAACAGAGACAAAAAUCAGUGUAAGGUAAGGGGGGAAGGCACCCAUUUUUUUCCAGUGCUCUGAAUUGCAAAUGCGCUCUGAACAGCCAUUGACUUCCCUGUUGUUUACCUGAUCAACACAUUUUGUCUGAAUACUUGAACAUUUUAACAAUAACACAGGUAUUAAAACAGAAAAAAAUGUAUAAAGAAUAAAUGAUGCUUUUUCUUCCGUUUUAACAUGUGUACAAGCGAGCUUUUUCUAGCAGUGGUUUAAAGUUUUGUAAGUUUUCCAAUAUUUUGCUUUAUCUUCAGUUUUAGUUUUGUGUGUGCCUGUGUGUGUGGGCGUGUGCGAGUAUGUUUUGCAGAAGUGAUGAACUGCAGCUCACCUACUGCACCAAAGUUUUAGAUCUUAGGGGCCCAGCUUUAGUCAUUUGAACAUGCUUCUAAUGAAGAGAAAACCAAAAGAACUCUUUUGAUUUGUAAUAGCUAAAGACCGUUGGCCAAGAAAGCUCUAGUAUAUGCAGUGAUGGUAAUGGGAGGUGGGGCAAUUGAGCAUUUCAUUGUGUGCGAUAUUCAAGUACAUCAGCAGGUAUCACCAGGGCCUACUACAAUGCCAUCAAUGGUCUUUGUGACCAAUUUUUCUGGAACAAAAAUUCUGAUUGAACUGUUUGAUUCUCCAUGGUGGCGGACUUUAGUUCCCCAUGAAAUUCGCUAAAGUUAAACCUCCUAGUCUUAGAUGUGUAAUUUUAUGGUGAGAACGGAGGGCUAGGGAUGAUUGGAAUACUUUUCCCUAUUUAUAAACUGCUUGAAACCUGAUCAUUUCGGUUUGCACUUUAAUACCACACUUAAAACCAAACACUGUAUUCAAAGUAGGUUAGGUGGUGGUGGUGGUUAAUCUUUAUUACCUAUACUAAAUAAUAGGAGAUUCAAAUAAUUCAUGAAGAUUUUAGUUUUCUGAAAAUUGUAGGUUCUUUCCUUUGGGUAGUUUUCUCUCUCUCUCUCCUCCCCUUUCCCUCCCUCUCCCAUUUCCUUUCUCUACUUCUCCUUCCUCUUCUCAUUCCUCUGCCUCCUCUCCCCUUCCUCCUCCCUCUCUCCUUCCUUUGCCUUUCUCUCCUCUUCCCUCCUUCUACCUUCCCCUCCCUGUCUCAUCCAUUCUUUCCUGUCCUUCCAUUUGUUCUUUAUCCCUCUCUUCCUCCUUCCUCUUUCUCUCUUUCUCAAAAAAAAAGACAACAUUUUAUACAGGGGUGUGUGUGUGUGUGUGUGUGUGUGUGUGUCUGGUUGUGUGUGGGUGUGUGUGUAUGUAUAUGUGUGUGUACGAAUGCACACACAUACAUACACAGUAUUCAUUAUCAUUGACCUCAGCAGCAAAUUUGACUUGAAUUACCUUAGGAUGACAGGAAUAGGGGAAAUAGGAAGUAAAAAUGGUUUCUCCAGCACAGUUUUAAAAAAUAAAAGGGACCAAAAGUUAUUUUAGGCUUCCUCAAUAGAAUGCAUGUAAAGUUGCUUAUUAGGUUAAGAAACUGCUAUUAAAUGCAAUAUAGGUAUUGUCUUUGCCAGAUGUUCAGAUCAUUGCAGGGGGCUCAGAAACCACCAGAACCUAGCAUUGUGUAUCUCAUGUACUGUAGCUUUAUCAGUGAACAGCGAAAUCUGGAAUACCAAGUGCAAAAUUUGAACAAUGACCUAUAAAGAUUUGUAAAAUAAAGUUUUUCCAAUAGACUUCAUUCUCGUCAUUUUGUAAAAAAAACAAAAACAAACAAAAAACAACCUUACAGUCCACCUGUUUGUAACUUUUUUAAUAAAAUAGACAUCUGUAUUACUUGA